AAGCCCUGGAAAUAGGGGCUAAUACCGGAUACUGAGCCUCCUGGGCAUCCCUGCGGUUCGAAAGCUCCGGCGGUGCAGGAUGAGCCCCCGCCCUAUCAGCUUGUUGGUGAGGUAACGGCUCACCAAGGCGACGACGGGUAGCCGGCCUGAGAGGGCGACCGGCCCCACUGGGACUGAGACACGGCCCACACUCCUACGGGAGGCAGCAGUGGGGAAUAUUGCACAAUGGGCGCAAGCCUGAUGCAGCGACGCCGCGUGAGGGAUGACGGCCUUCGGGUUGUAAACCUCUUUCACCAGGGAAGAAGCGCAAGUGACGGUACCUGUAGAAGAAGCGCCGGCUAACUACGUGCCAGCACCCGCGGUAAUACGUAGGGCGCGAGCGUUGUCCGGAAUUAUUGGGCGUAAAGAGCUCGUAGGCGGCUUGUCGCGUCGGUUGUGAAAGCCCGGGGCUUAACCCCGGGUCUGCAGUCGAUACGGGCAGGCUAGAGUUCGGUAGGGGAGAUCGGAAUUCCUGGUGUAGCGGUGAAAUGCGCAGAUAUCAGGAGGAACACCGGUGGCGAAAGCGGAUCUCUGGGCCGAUACUGACGCUGAGGAGCGAAAGCGUGGGGAGCGAACAGGAUUAGAUACCCUGUUAGUCCACGCCGUAAACGGUGGGCACUAGGUGUGGGCGACAUUCC
rnacentral:rRNA from 1 species